UAGCUUAGUUGGUAGUGCGUCUGCCUUGUAAGCGCUAGGCCGUGGGUUCGAUUCCCAC
rnacentral:tRNA from 1 species